rnacentral:lncRNA from 1 species
CACAGCCAUCGCAGUUUUCACAAGAAAAGUGCCGAUCAUUGAAAACAGUGCAGCCAGAUUGCUUCAUGGCCGCAAUAAGCAGUUGAGCAUAUGGAUUCGUCUCCAGAGUCAUCCUCAGCAUCACCUGGCACCUGUUGUGGAAGGUGAAGAGGCUGCGAACCAGGAAGCUCUGCGGCUCUUUGUUGCGAUCGGGGAAGAGCCGGUAUCCGAAGUCAUCCUCCUCCUCCCCACCCUCAGCACCAGGCGGCGAAGCAGUCUUCCCGUCCUCCAUUGCCGUCCCCUACUCCCUC